UACAGAGGUCUCAAGCGUUGUUCGGAUUCAUUGGGCGUAAAGGGUGCGUAGGUGGCGCCGUAAGUCAGGUGUGAAAUUUCGGAGCUUAACUCCGAAACUGCAUUUGAUACUGGGAGGCUAGAGUACUGGAGAGGAAACUGGAAUUUACGGUGUAGCAGUGAAAUGCGUAGAGAUCGUAAGGAAGACCAGUGGCGAAGGCGAGUUUCUGGACAGUUACUGACGCUGAGGCACGAAGGCCAGGGGAGCAAACGGG
rnacentral:rRNA from 1 species